rnacentral:rRNA from 1 species
CCGAAAACACGGUGCCUGUUGUGAUGGAUACCCGAGUAGCAGCGAGCCCGUGAAAUUCGCUGUGAAUCUGCCGAGACCACUCGGUAAGCCUAAAUACUACCUUGCGACCGAUAGCGGACAAGUACCGUGAGGGAAAGGUGAAAAGUACCCCGGGAGGGGAGUGAAAUAGUACCUGAAACCGUGUGCUUACAAUCCGUCAGAGCCCUCGUUGUGGGGUGAUGGCGUGCCUUUUGAAGAAUGAGCCUGCGAGUCAGUGCUCGGUGGCGAGGUUAACCCGUUGUGGGGUAGCCGUAGCGAAAGCGAGUCCGAAUAGGGCGUUUGAGUCGCCGGGUCUGGACCCGAAGCGGAGUGAUCUACCCAUGGCCAGGGUGAAGCAGCAGUAAGAUGUUGUGGAGGCCCGAACCCACUUAGGUUGAAAACUGAGGGGAUGAGCUGUGGGUAGGGGUGAAAGGCCAAUCAAACUCCGUGAUAGCUGGUUCUCCCCGAAAUGCAUUUAGGUGCAGCGUCACGUGUUUCUUGCCGGAGGUAGAGCUACUGGAUGGCCGAUGGGCCCUCACAGGUUACUGACGUCAGCCAAACUCCGAAUGCCGGUAAGUGAGAACGUGGCAGUGAGACUGCGGGGGAUAAGCUUCGUAGUCGAGAGGGAAACAGCCCAGAUCGCCGGCUAAGGCCCCUAAGCGUGUACUAAGUGGAAAAGGAUGUCCGGUCGCGAAGACAACCAGGAGGUUGGCUUAGAAGCAGCCACCCUUGAAAGAGUGCGUAAUAGCUCACUGGUCUAGUGGCUGGGCGCCGACAAUUUAGCGGGGCUCAAGUACACCGCCGAAGCCGCGGCACUCACAUCUUUGGUGUGGGUGGGUAGGGGAGCGUCGUGCAGCCGUAGAAGCAGCAGGGUGACCUAGUUGUGGAGGCUGUGCGAGUGAGAAUGCAGGCAUGAGUAGCGAAUGACACGUGAGAAACGUGUCCUCCGGAUGACCAAGGGUUCCUGGGCUAGGUUAAUCCUCCCAGGGUGAGUCGGGACCUAAGGCGAGGCCGACAGGCGUAGUCGAUGGACAACGGGUUGAUAUUCCCGUACCCGUGUCAGAUCGCCCCUGAUGAAUCAGUUGUACUAACCGUCCUGAAGCUUACGGAUCACCUUCGGGUGACAGUUGAGUGGAUGCACGGGACCUCGGCUGGUAGUAGUCAAGCGAUGGGGUGACGCAGGAAGGUAGUGGGGCCAGUCAGUGGUUGUACUGGUGUAAGCCUGUAGGGCGAGAUCUAGGCAAAUCCGGAUCUCACAUAGCCUGAGAGGUGAUGCGUAGCCGUUGCGGUGAAUUCCAUGAUCCUAUGCUGCCGAGAAAAGCCUCUAG